ACUCCUACGGGAGGCAGCAGUGGGGAAUAUUGCACAAUGGGGGAAACCCUGAUGCAGCCAUGCCGCGUGUGUGAAGAAGGCCUUCGGGUUGUAAAGCACUUUCAGUAGGGAGGAAGGUAGUGUAGUUAACACCUGCAUUAUUUGACGUUACCUACAGAAGAAGCACCGGCUAACUCCGUGCCAGCAGCCGCGGUAAUACGGAGGGUGCGAGCGUUAAAUCGGAAUUACUGGGCGUAAAGCGCAUGCAGGCGGCCUGUUAAGUCAGAUGUGAAAGCCCGGGGCUUAACCUCGGAAUUGCAUUUGAAACUGGCAGGCUAGAGUCUUGUAGAGGGGGGUAGAAUUUCAGGUGUAGCGGUGAAAUGCGUAGAGAUCUGAAGGAAUACCAAGUGGCGAAGGCGGCCCCCUGGACAAAGACUGACGCUC
rnacentral:rRNA from 1 species